AGGGAGACAGGAGGUGGGGGCAGGAGGAGAUGGGGGUUGUCUCCAACCAGGAUGGGGGGCAGGAGGUGCCUGUCACAGCCCCUGUCACACCCGUGUCCGUCUCUUACCCUAAGUUUUCCUGGCACGCCAUUAUCCGCUGAGCUUGUGAGCCGGGCUGGGCCCGGGCUGGGCCAGCUCCUGGAGCUGAGUCCCUCGUCAGGUCCAGUCCAGGCUCGGGGCACGGAGACCCCGGGGGCUCCCUGCUGUGCAGGUGGCCGAGUGCCAAGGAGCCUGAGGACAGGACCCCUGGCACCACUUAGAUUUGCAGACGUACUUGCCCCCCCCUCCCAGAACACGGAGCCCCCAUCCUGCCUUAACUGUUCACAAGAACCAGAUGUCCUCACUUCUUGCCCAAAAGUGCACACCAAUCCUGCAGGCACACCGGUCAGAGUCGACCCCACGGGACGAGUCCACACUUCCGGGUUGGUUCCUGGUCCCUUCGGGGAAUGACAGCACCCACCUAACACGGGGGCACCCUGGCCGUGAUGGAGGGUCUCGCCCCCACCCCGCCCCACCCGCACUGACGUCCCUCCCCCUCGGCCAGCACCUCGGCAGGCUCGGUGGGGGGAGCCGGGCCCCAUUCCCCACAGCACGGAGCACGAGGGGCCUCCUGGGUGAGCCCUGAGCUCCCGAGGCCCCUGGGCGGCGGGACGGCCGUGCGGGGGCAAGUCUCCGGGUGCCGGUCACGGCCCACAGGGGCCCAGCGUGGGGUCGGCUGUCCGGGGAAGGGCCCCCUCUGGAAACGGGGCCAGUACUUCAGCAGCACAUAAGGCUCCAGAGACAAGCACCACCCUGGGGGGGGUGGGUUACGGGAGUGCCGGCGACUUGGGCUACACUUUACCCCUUGGGGCCGCAAGUCCAGAGCGGAGGCCGGGCGGGGCGGGUGUGCGGUGGGGGCUCCCUGGCUCACAGAUGGUCUUCUCACUGUCCUCGCGGUCCUCACCGGCAGAGGGGCUGGGAGCUCUCCGGGGACCCUCUCCGGUGUGCAUUGAUCGCAGCAUGGGGUGCCACCCUCGCCACCUCGGCAUCGCCCUCCUCCUGACGUCACCACCUUGCGGGAAGAAAACCUACUGGUUUGGAGUUUUCUGAGACAGUGUCAGGUCAGAGUCCUUCCGUUCCCCCGGCCCGUGAAAAGACCGAGAACCUUCACGGCUUCUGCCGCACAGACGUUACGGAGCUCGGUGGGCUGCAGACGCGGCCUUUGUGUUUUACACGAAAUUCAUUCAACCUGCGACGUCACUCAAAAUGUAAAACGGCGAGUACGCGAGUCUCUUGGGAGUGUCUCAGCUCAGCACCCACCUCAAGUCACAGCACUGUUUUCCUGUCAUGCUGGGACUGUCUCUGGAACUCGUACUAAACUCCCAGGCCAGCAGGUGGCCAUCCUGAACUUGAAAGGGCCCCUCAGAACCCCCCAACUGCCCCUUUGUGUUUUAUGGGGAAAA